rnacentral:rRNA from 1 species
GACGAACGCUGGCGGCGUGCUUAACACAUGCAAGUCGAACGGAAGGGCCCUGCUUUUGUGGGGUGCUCGAGUGGCGAACGGGUGAGUAACACGUGAGUAACCUGCCCUUGACUUUGGGAUAACUUCAGGAAACUGGGGCUAAUACCGGAUAGGAGCUCCUGCUGCAUGGUGGGGGUUGGAAAGUUUCGGCGGUUGGGGAUGGACUCGCGGCUUAUCAGCUUGUUGGUGGGGUAGUGGCUUACCAAGGCUUUGACGGGUAGCCGGCCUGAGAGGGUGACCGGCCACAUUGGGACUGAGAUACGGCCCAGACUCCUACGGGAGGCAGCAGUGGGGAAUAUUGCACAAUGGGCGGAAGCCUGAUGCAGCAACGCCGCGUGCGGGAUGACGGCCUUCGGGUUGUAAACCGCUUUCGCCUGUGACGAAGCGUGAGUGACGGUAAUGGGUAAAGGAGCACCGGCUAACUACGUG